CUGCGGGGACGACCUCGCAGACGUCAACCCCGCCGGGGACGGGCGCCCCG
rnacentral:ncRNA from 1 species